rnacentral:rRNA from 1 species
UACGUAGGGUCCGAGCGUUGUCCGGAAUUACUGGGCGUAAAGAGCUCGUAGGUGGUUUGUCGCGUUGUUCGUGAAAACUCACAGCUCAACUGUGGGCGUGCGGGCGAUACGGGCAGACUAGAGUACUGCAGGGGAGACUGGAAUUCCUGGUGUAGCGGUGGAAUGCGCAGAUAUCAGGAGGAACACCGGUGGCGAAGGCAGGUCUCUGGGCCGAUACUGACGCUGAGGAGCGAAAGCGUGGGGAGCGAACAGG